rfam:Aliiglaciecola lipolytica E3 DNA, contig: CTG037.
AAUGUCGGAUAGUGGGUUAGGGUCCAGAAACAAAAAAGCCCCGCUUGUACGGGGCUUUUUGUUGUUAAUAUUGGUUUUCUAAAUCUGGGCUUUUCGCCCUUUUUUC